AGUGAACGCUGGCGGUAGGCCUAACACAUGCAAGUCGAACGGCAGCACAGUAAGAGCUUGCUCUUACGGGUGGCGAGUGGCGGACGGGUGAGGAAUACAUCGGAAUCUACUUUUUCGUGGGGGAUAACGUAGGUAAACUUACGCUAAUACCGCAUACGACCUACGGGUGAAAGCAGGGGAUCUUCGGACCUUGCGCGAUUGAAUGAGCCGAUGUCGGAUUAGCUAGUUGGCGGGGUAAAGGCCCACCAAGGCGACGAUCCGUAGCUGGUCUGAGAGGAUGGUCAGCCACACUGGAGCUGAGACACGGUCCAGACUCCUACGGGAGGCAGCAGUGGGGAAUAUUGGACAAUGGGGGCAAGCCUGAUCCAGCCAUACCGAGUGGGUGAAGAAGGCCUUCGGGUUGUAAAGCCCUUUUGUUGGGAAAGAAAAGCAGCAGGUUAAUACCCCGCUGUUCUGACGGUACCCAAAGAAUAAGCACCGGCUAACUUCGUG
rnacentral:rRNA from 1 species